rnacentral:rRNA from 1 species
AGAAUCAACGCUGGCGGCGUGCCUAACACAUGCAAGUCGCACGAGAAAGGGUAGCAAUACCUGAGUACAGUGGCGCACGGGUGAGUAACACGUGAAUAAUCUACCUCCGAGUGGGGAAUAACUGAGAGAAAUCUUAGCUAAUACCGCAUAAUACCCACGGGUCAAAGCAGCAAUGCGCUUGGAGAGGAGUUCGCGGCAGAUUAGUUAGUUGGCGGGGUAAUGGCCCACCAAGACGAUGAUCUGUAUCCGGCCUGAGAGGGCGCACGGACACACUGGAACUGAAACACGGUCCAGACUCCUACGGGAGGCAGCAGUGGGGAAUUUUGCGCAAUGGGGGAAACCCUGACGCAGCAACGCCGCGUGGAGGAUGAAGCCCCUUGGGGUGUAAACUCCUUUCGAUCGGGAAGAUAAUGACGGUACCGAUAUAAGAAGCCCCGGCUAACUUCGCGCCAGCAGCCGC